rnacentral:rRNA from 1 species
ACAGUGGCAAACGGGUGCGUAACGCGUAAGCAACCUGCCUCAAACUGGGGGAUAGCCCGGCGAAAGCUGGGGUAAACCCGCACGGUCCAGUUCUAUCACCUGGUGGGAUUGGUAAACAUUGAUGGGUUUGAGAGGGGCUUGCGUCUGAUUAGCUAGUUGGUGGGGUAACGGCUCACCAAGGCGAUGAUCAGUAGGGGUUCUGAGAGGAUUGGCCCCCACAUGGGUACUGAGAUACGGACCCA